CCUUUUAAAACAGUCGUACAAGCGAGUUCAACUGUGAACAUUAUCAGACAAUAGGCUGUGUUUUUCAAGUAGUACCUACCAAUAUCCGAAAAUGAAUUUCCUCAGAGUACUCUUCUUGGUGGCUGUGGCGGUUGCCACUUUAGGCAGCUACCACGUACAGGCUAAAAUGUCAAUAGAGCGGCGGAAGCCGAGAAAAUAGGUACCUAAUAUCUUUAUUGAAAUUUUUACGUCAACCAGAAAUAAAACGUCAAAUUUGCA